GAUGAACGCUGGCGGCGUGCCUAAUACAUGCAAGUCGAGCGAACAGACGAGGAGCUUGCUCCUCUGACGUUAGCGGCGGACGGGUGAGUAACACGUGGAUAACCUACCUAUAAGACUGGGAUAACUUCGGGAAACCGGAGCUAAUACCGGAUAAUAUAUUGAACCGCAUGGUUCAAUAGUGAAAGACGGUUUUGCUGUCACUUAUAGAUGGAUCCGCGCCGCAUUAGCUAGUUGGUAAGGUAACGGCUUACCAAGGCAACGAUGCGUAGCCGACCUGAGAGGGUGAUCGGCCACACUGGAACUGAGACAAGGUCCAGAAUCCUAAGGGAGGCAGCAGUAGGGAAUCUUCCGCAAUGGGCGAAAGCCUGACGGAGCAACGCCGCGUGAGUGAUGAAGGUCUUCGGAUCGUAAAACUCUGUUAUUAGGGAAGAACAAAUGUGUAAGUAACUAUGCACGUCUUGACGGUACCUAAUCAGAAAGCCACGGCUAACUACGUG
rnacentral:rRNA from 1 species